AUUGAACGCUGGCGGCACGCCUAACACAUGCAAGUCGAACGGCAGCAUUUUCUGUAGCAAUACAGAGAGAUGGCGAGUGGCGGACGGGUGAGUAACGCGUAGGAAUCUGCCUGAAAGAUGAGGAUAACUUGGGGAAACUCAAGCUAAUACUGAAUAAUCCCGAGAGGGAAAAGGUUGCGCAAGCAGCCGCUUUCAGAUGAGCCUGCGUUGGAUUAGCUAGUUGGUGGGGUAAAGGCCUACCAAGGCGAUGAUCCAUAGCUGUUCUGAGAGGAAGGACAGCCACACUGGGACUGAGACACGGCCCAGACUCCUACGGGAGGCAGCAGUGGGGAAUCUUGGACAAUGGGGGCAACCCUGAUCCAGCGAUGCCGCGUGUGUGAAGAAGGCCUUCGGGUUGUAAGCACUUAGUAGGGGAGGGAGUAGUUACUUUUGUAAUAGGAAGU
rnacentral:rRNA from 1 species